rnacentral:lncRNA from 1 species
UCUACUGCGAGGUAAGGAUGUUUCUGUGCUCGUGGGGGUACUGGGAAUCUGAAACCAUCUGCUCUGGGAAAGGCUGCGGCGCGGCUCCCACUCUCGGAACCUUGUCCUGUUUGUCCCCCAGCUCGGCAAGCGCCAUAUGAGCCUGGCGGCGCCAGAUGCGAAUCCUGUUGUGGGCUUUUUGGCCUAUUCCCGCCCCUCAGUCUUGCCGGGAUGGCACCGCCCGCAUAGGACUUCCAGGGUUGGGCUGAGUGGGAGUUCGACUGCUGGGCCUCGUAAUUCUCGCUUUGGGGCUGCUCCUUCCAGGCUGGGACACACUGGGGCCCGCUGUCGGUCUCCCGUCCUCCGACAUCUUGUCUGGAACUUCCGCCUGGCAGUCUCCAGUAGGAGUGGAGCUCUGUGCGGCGUAGUUUGGUGGAAAAACGGGCCUUGCGUCGGCCUCACCCCCAGUGUUUGUGUUUCAGAAUGAAGACUAUUCUCAGCAAUCAGACUGUCGACAUUCCAGAAAAUGUCGACAUUACUCUGAAGGGACGCACAGUUAUCGUGAAGGGCCCCAGAGGAACCCUGCGGAGGGACUUCAAUCACAUCAAUGUAGAACUCAGCCUUCUUGGAAAGAAAAAAAAGAGGCUCCGGGUUGACAAAUGGUGGGGUAACAGAAAGGAACUGGCUACCGUUCGGACUAUUUGUAGUCAUGUACAGAACAUGAUCAAGGGUGUUACACUGGUAAGCAGAUGUAUCAGACUUCCUUGUUUUGGAAAGGGAGGUUUCUCAAACCUGUGCUUUAUACAGCGUAAGUGUCUCUUUCAGAGAAUGGGUCAUGUAUUUUAUUUGGUGUAAUACGCAAGAACUUGGCAAAAAUAGGCAUCUGUGGGUCUUUAAGCGAUAGAGCUGAGAGCAAAGACCAGAUGGGUACAACAUGUUUGUUUUUUUCUGUUGUUGGGUUUUUUUUUUUUUUAAUCAAGGCUGGGGUCUCGCUAUUUUGUCCAGGCUGAGCUCAAGUGAUCCUCCCACCUUGGCCUCCCAUAGUACUGGGAUUGCAGGCAUGAGCCACCAUGCAUGGCUAGAUGGGUACAACUUUUAAAAAGUAGGCUAAUGAUGAAUUUUCAUACCUUCCGAAUUCUUUAAGAUAGGAAAUCUACAGUUGCAGUACUAGUUGGUAGUCACAUCUCACCAUCAGGACCCCUUGUUGGGAUAGAAAAAGAUGUAGUUUCUGAGUUUUCUGUCUGCUGCCAUAAUGUAUGUCAUUAUUCUUUCCAACCCACCGUCUCUCCCCUCAAGAUAAAAAGUUCAUGCUGAAAUGGUUUUCUUUGCAUUAUACCUUCUAGAAUGCACCUGAUAAUGGCACCCUGUACAUCUAUUAUAAAUCUGUUAAGAUUCCCCCAUCUACCCUUGCUCUUAGCCUUAAGUUCCUUGAAGGCAGGGGGCCUGCCUUUGGCUUGGUGGUCUCAAUUCCUGCCAUGUGCUGUACCUUAGUAACUCAGUAAAUGUUAGUCUAAUGUCUAAGAUCAGGGCUUUGGGGUUCUCAUUAAAAGAAGGCAGCAUUGUUCAUUGAGGGCAUAAGAGCUAGUGAAAUAAAGCCUCCGCAAGGAGCUUUACAGUCCACUGAAUAGACAGAACAAUGUUUAUAAGGCUUGGUUCAGGUGACAGUUAUUAGAAAAUCUUGGCAGUGAGUGUUACGUUUUAAAAUAAGUAUAAGCAUCUUAGAAAAUUUUAAAACUAUUAAAAAUAUUCCUCAGCAUUGCUAAUAGCUUGCUUAUUUAUUUAACAUAGGGCUUCCGUUACAAGAUGAGGUCUGUGUAUGCUCACUUCCCCAUCAACGUUGUUAUCCAGGAGAAUGGGUCUCUUGUUGAAAUCCGAAAUUUCUUGGGUGAAAAAUAUAUCCGCAGGGUUCGGAUGAGACCAGGUGUUGCUUGUUCAGUAUCUCAAGCCCAGAAAGAUGAAUUAAUCCUUGAAGGAAAUGACAUUGAGCUUGUUUCAAAUUCAGCGGCUUUGAUUCAGCAAGCCACAACAGUUAAAAACAAGGAUAUCAGGAAAUUUUUGGAUGGUAUCUAUGUCUCUGAAAAAGGAACUGUUCAGCAGGCUGAUGAAUAAGAUCUAAGAGUUACCUGGCUACAGAAAGAAGAUGCCAGAUGACACUUAAGACCUACUUGUGAUAU